rnacentral:rRNA from 1 species
AUUGAACGCUGGCGGCAGGCCUAACACAUGCAAGUCGAGCGGAGCGGCGGACGGGUGGGUAAUGCCUAGGAAUCUGCCUGGUAGUGGGGGAUAACGUCCGGAAACGGGCGCUAAUACCGCAUACUCUCAGAUGAGCCUAGGUCGGAUUAGCUAGUUGGUGGGGUAAAGGCCUACCUAGGCGACGAACCGUAACUGGUAUGAGAGGAUGAUCAGUCAAACUGGAACUGAGACACGGUCCAGACUCCUACGGGAGGCAGCAGUGGGGAAUAUUGGGCGAGGGACGAAAGCCUGAUCCAGCCAUGCCGCGUGUGUGAAGAAGGUCUUCGGAUUGUAAAGCACUUUAAGUUGGGAGGCGUUACCUACAGAAUAAGCACCGGCUAACUUCGUGCCAGCAGCCGCGGUAAUUC